UAUGGCUCAGUCAGUAGAGCAUGAGACUCUUAAUAUCAGGGUUGUGGGUUCGAGGCUCACAUUGGGAAAAA